rnacentral:rRNA from 1 species
CGAGUGUAGGGUUCCUAGCGAGCCCAACCUCCCACCCGUGUUUACUGUACCUUAGUUGCUUCGGCGGGCCCGCCAUUCAUGGCCGCCGGGGGCUCUCAGCCCCGGGCCCGCGCCCGCCGGAGACACCACGAACUCUGUCUGAUCUAGUGAAGUCUGAGUUGAUUGUAUCGCAAUCAGUUAAAACUUUCAACAAUGGAUCUCUUGGUUCCGGCAUCGAUGAAGAACGCAGCGAAAUGCGAUAACUAGUGUGAAUUGCAGAAUUCCGUGAAUCAUCGAGUCUUUGAACGCACAUUGCGCCCCCUGGUAUUCCGGGGGGCAUGCCUGUCCGAGCGUCAUUGCUGCCCAUCAAGCACGGCUUGUGUGUUGGGUCGUCGUCCCCUCUCCGGGGGGGACGGGCCCCAAAGGCAGCGGCGGCACCGCGUCCGAUCCUCGAGCGUAUGGGGCUUUGUCACCCGCUCUGUAGGCCCGGCCGGCGCUUGCCGAACGCAAAUCAAUCUUUUUCCAGGUUGACCUCGGAUCAGGUAGGGAUACCCGCUGAACUUAAGC